rnacentral:rRNA from 1 species
AGAUUAAGUUAUUAAGGGCGCACGGUGGAUGCCUUGGCACUAGAAGCCGAAGAAGGACGUUACUAACGACGAUAUGCUUUGGGUAGCUGUAAGUAAGCGUUGAUCCAGAGAUUUCCGAAUGGGGGAACCCAACAUGAGUUAUGUCAUGUUAUCGACAUGUGAAUUCAUAGCAUGUCAGAAGGCAGACCCGGAGAACUGAAACAUCUUAGUACCCGGAGGAAGAGAAAGAAAAAUCGAUUCCCUGAGUAGCGGCGAGCGAAACGGGAAGAGCCCAAACCAACAAGCUUGCUUGUUGGGGUUGUAGGACACUCUAUACGGAGUUACAAAAGAACAUGUUAGACGAAUCAUCUGGAAAGAUGAAUCAAAGAAGGUAAUAAUCCUGUAGUCGAAAACAUAUUCUCUCUUGAGUGGAUCCUGAGUACGACGGAGCACGUGAAAUUCCGUCGGAAUCUAGGAGGACCAUCUCCUAAGGCUAAAUACUCUCUAGUGACCGAUAGUGAACCAGUACCGUGAGGGAAAGGUGAAAAGUACCCCGGAAGGGGAGUGAAAGAGAACUUGAAACCGUGUGCUUACAAGUAGUCAGAGCCCGUUUAUGGGUGAUGGCGUGCCUUUUGUAGAAUGAACCGGCGAGUUACGAUCUGAUGCAAGGUUAAGCAGCGAAUGUGGAGCCGUAGCGAAAG